CUCGGAGGGGCGAGGCGAGCUGCCCAGGCGGGAGAGCGUGUGCGUGGAGCCCCGCAGGGCGGCCGGGCUGCGCCAACACCCCAAAACCGCCGCCGUCGCCGCCGUCCCCGCCCCUCCGCGCCGCCGGCAACCCGCACCCGCCGGGGCGGGGCGUCCAAAAAUCUCCUUCCGGGCGGCGCGGCCACCUCCUCCCGGGACCCCGCGCUUCGCCCUCGGGCCGUACCCCCCUCCGCACCCCUGCAUGACGCCUCCCUCCCCAGCCCCCCUGCUCCCCCGCCGGCCGCCCGGGCCGCGAAGGCCCGCAGCCCAAGCCCAGGCCGCAGGACGGCGCCGGGGAGUUUCGCCGCUGCCAGCCCCCGUGGAGGCGGGCGCGGGGGGAACGGCUGGGGGAAGGGGCCCCGCGGGGCGGCCACGCGCCACUCACGCGUCGAACUUGUUGUUCAUCCUCUCACCGCCGCCGUCGCCACUGCCUCACGGAGUGACUUCCGCUCCGCCGGGUCUCCCCCCCCGCCCAGUUUAGGGCCCGGCCACUUCCGGCUGCGCGCGGCGCAGCGGAACCUCUGCGCGCUAGUCCGGUGCGGGGCGGGUAUCCCGGGACGCCGGCCCCGGGCGGCUGCGCGGAGGCUGCCUGGGUCCCCCCGCGCGUCCGAGGGGGCGCCCCGACUCCACACACACACACACACCCCCCGGGGGCGGCCGCACCGUCCUGGACUCGCUCUUCACCUGCCCGAGGCUGUUUCCUCCUGGGUCCCGGCCACGCCCCUUCGGGUCGCCGUGUGGCUGGAACCGGACCGCCGGUGUCCGGCGCUGGACGCAGCCGCCCGCGCGGAGUCUUCCGUCUUGCUGACCUGUGCGGGGGAGCGAAGGAGCUCAUCGCGCCCCCCGAGGCGGUCGGAGAUGUUGGGAGACCGACCCCAGGUGACGCAGUUAGUGCAAAGCUCACCGGAACCUCAGAUGGGCCCGCCAGGCUCGGGGCGAGCGCCUCCCGGAUCCGAAGCGUCUGCUCCGGGGACACAGGGGCGGCGCGCACGGGAGUUAAGGACGCGAACCUGCUGCUGGUGGAGCCGCCAAGCCAGCACCCCUGUGCUUGGGGAAGGCGGUUAUUACCAGCCCCCCCGGCCCCCACGAUGUCCCAUUGUCAGGUCUUAUGCACAUUUUUUAAAAAAAGACUUAUUUGUUCAGAGAGAGAGGGGCAGAGACACAGGCAGAGGGAGAAGCAGGCUCCAUGCAAGGAGCCCGACGUGGGACUCGAUCCCGGGUCUCCAGGAUCACACCCCGGGCUGCAGGCGCACGCCACCGGGGCUGCCCCUUAUGCACAUUUUUGAUUCACUGUCACCCGCACCUUUGAUCCUCUGA
rnacentral:lncRNA from 1 species